rnacentral:rRNA from 1 species
UACAGAGGUCUCAAGCGUUGUUCGGAUUCAUUGGGCGUAAAGGGUGCGUAGGUGGCGCGCUAAGUCAGGUGUGAAAUUUCGGAGUUUAACUCCGAAACUGCAUUUGAUACUGGCGUGCUUGAGGACUGGAGAGGAGACUGGAAUUCAUGGUGUAGCAGUGAAAUGCGUAGAGAUCAUGAGGAAGACCAGUGGCGAAGGCGGGUCUCUGGACAGUUCCUGACACUGAGGCACGAAGGCCAGGGGAGCAAACGGG